GACGCUUAGCUGACUGAGCUACCAGGCGCCCCAUCAGUGGAGGGUGUUAAUGAAAGGAGGCCAAGAGGAUGAAAGGUGAUGCUGUUACUGGAAUGGGGGUACAAGCAGAGGGAUGAGAUCAAUUCCAGAGCAGCUGUGUUCAGGAUGCUUGCAGAAAGUUUAAGAGGAAGCUGUUGGAACCUGGAAGAACGUCCAGACUUGAACUGAGGGGCAUUGUUGGCUUAAAAAUGAUCCAAGAAACAAAAGAAGCACCUCUCAAAUGUCAUUUGGCAAACAAAAACUGAGAAACAUACAUUUUUCCUUCUUUCCACUACUGGAUCUAGGCUCUACCUUUGGA